GUCAGAUGAUUUGAAUCAAUGCACUGAUGCUCUGUGAAGGUUGAAUUAAUAGCAUGUUAGAGUUCUGAUGGCA
ensembl:snoRNA SNORD28 Small nucleolar RNA SNORD28